AUUGAACGCUGGCGGUAUGCUUAACACAUGCAAGUCGAACGGCAGCACAGUCAUCGCCUUGUCGUAGGGUGGCCGACGGGCGGAUGGUACAGGGGUACAUGGGCAUCUGUUGUUGCGUGGGGGACGACGGCGGGAAUCUUACCGCAAUACACCUGAGGACCAACGGGUGGAAUCAUCGGAUCUUCGGACCUUGCGCGAUCCGAUGGCCGGAUGUCGGAUUAGCUAGUUGGUGGGGUAAAGGCCUACCAAGGCGACGAUCUGUAGCUGGUCUGAGAGGACGACCAGCCACACUGGGACUGAGACACGGCCCAGACUCCUACGGGAGGCAGCAGUGGGGAAUUUUGGACAAUGGGCGAAAGCCUGAUCCAGCAAUGCCGCGUGUGUGAUGAAGGCCUUCGGGUUGUAAAGCACUUUUGGCGGGAACGAAAAGGACUGUGCCAAUACCACGGUUCGAUGACGGUACCCGCAGAAUAAGCACCGGCUAACUACGUG
rnacentral:rRNA from 1 species